rnacentral:rRNA from 1 species
AUUGAACGCUGGCGGAAUGCUUUACACAUGCAAGUCGAACGGCAGCACGGGGGCAACCCUGGUGGCGAGUGGCGAACGGGUGAGUAAUACAUCGGAACGUGCCCAGUCGUGGGGGAUAACUACGCGAAAGCGUAGCUAAUACCGCAUACGAUCUCUGGAUGAAAGCGGGGACCGCAAGGCCUCGCGCGAUUGGAGCGGCCGAUGGCAGAUUAGGUAGUUGGUGGGGUAAAGGCCUACCAAGCCGACGAUCUGUAGCUGGUCUGAGAGGACGACCAGCCACACUGGGACUGAGACACGGCCCAGACUCCUACGGGAGGCAGCAGUGGGGAAUUUUGGACAAUGGGCGCAAGCCUGAUCCAGCCAUUCCGCGUGCAGGAUGAAGGCCCCUCGGGUUGUAAACUGCUUUUUGUACGGAACGAAACGGCCUGCUCUAAUACAGCGGGCCAAUGACGGUACCGUAAGAAUAAGCACCGGCUAACUACGUGCCAGCAGCCGCGGUAAUACGUAGGGUGCAAGCGUUAAUCGGGAUUACUGGGCGUAAAGCGUGCGCAGGCGGUGAUGUAAGACAGAUGUGAAAUCCCCGGGCUUAACCUGGGAACUGCAUUUGUGACUGCAUCGCUGGAGUGCGGCAGAGGGGG